GCCAGGUGCAGUGGCUCAUGCCUGUAAUCCCAGCACUUUGGGGCCGAGGCAGGAGAAUCGCUUGAAGCUGGGAGGCAGAGGUUCCAGUAAGCCAAGAUGGUGCCACUGCACUCUAGCCUGGGCAACAUGAGUGAAACUCCAUCUCAAANNNNNNNNNNUUUGAGAUGGAGUUUCACUCAUGUUGCCCAGGCUAGAGUGCAGUGGCACCAUCUUGGCUUACUGGAACCUCUGCCUCCCAGCUUCAAGCGAUUCUCCUGCCUCAG
rnacentral:SRP_RNA from 1 species